rnacentral:lncRNA from 1 species
GAAAACUUGUUCACCUUAGCCUCUAAGGAUAGAACAAGAAGCAAUGGGUUUANNNNNNNNNNGUACUAGUCGACGAGCGAGGGACUGGACUCGAUGACCUCUCGAGGUCCCUUCCAGUCCUAGAAUCUAUGAAUCUAUGAAUCUUUUCUAGCAACCAGAAGCAGCUGAUAUUGUCUCCUCAGUUGGCAACUGCAAUUGUCAGGUUUGCUUUUUAUAGCGGUCCCAAGAAUGGUACAUCUUUUCAGAGAGAAAUAUAGGCUAGUUCAUUUCCCCACAUAACAUCUGAAUAAUGCAAACAUAGUCCAAGAAAUCAAAAGGCUUCUAACUAUAGCGAACAGAAACAACACUAAAGAGGUAUUAUAACUACGCAGUUUCUUUUUCUGCUGCUGCAGUGAUGAUCAUGAUGGAGGGUAUUGUCUUAGCUGGCUUCUUUCUCUUGUAAGCAGCAGCACUGAAAAUCUCACAAGAAGGGCAUUUACUUUGGACACUGACAGGUUCUAAGACCCUAGAAAGAGAAAUAGAGAUUUAUCCUAACUCUCCUUUAUAGUAGUUCCUGGGACCUUGCAAUGGAAAUGAGAUUAUUUCUGCUAAUUCUCCAGAGCAGGUCCACAACAGCUCUUGGAUAUGAUCCAUUCCACCUGGUAUCACAGUCUGAGCCAUGCUGGAGAACAUGAGAGAAAGAAGGAGGUGCAUCUUUCCAGUGACAGUGUCUGAGGAGUCUCGGAGCAGACAUAAUGACUCCAGUGACUCUGUACCACCCAAGAAUCCCACUCUGCUGUGGGAGUUCUUCCCUGGCUGGAUUUACAAGGCCCUGAGCCAGAUAUAAGCAGCUCCCACAGACAAGCAAACUGAGGUACACAGCUAUCAAAUGUAAGCAGUAUUGUGGUUGCCCACUUUAGUUCUCUCUUCUUCCCUGUCAGAAAAUUAAGAACUGCAAAAUGUUAAGGACCCUCAACACCCAGGUGUAAGAAGGUUUGGUCCCUAAAAUUUUAAUUUGCUAAUGUAACAUGUUGCAGUGUGAAAUAUCACAGAAGUUCCAGAGGGAACACAAAGUUUUGAAUCUUAUUAGUCUUUGUAUUACAUUAGUGCUCAAAUCAGAAUUGUGGUCCCAUUGUGCCAUGAGUUGUGUAAACAUAAAUGAAGCAUUAUCCCUGCUCUGAAUAAUUUACUCUCUAAAUAGAAAGGACAGAAACAGAAAAACUCUUCCACUGACUUUGCCUCAAGGAAUUUUUUCACAACCCACAACCACCACAUCCCCAUCAACAAUCAUAAAAAAAAUAGAAUCAGCUGACUGGAUGCCCCCAGCAGACAAAACCCCACACUGGAUCAGUACAUCAAUUGCUUCAGGAAAAUAAUCAACUGUGAAAGCCUCAACAAAUGUUACAUCCAUAACAAUCUCUCCACCCCCGAGAGGACAACUAUUCAGUACUAAAAAAAUCCAGUCAUCAGAGAGUGAUCAAAAUAGCAGACAAAGGGGAUGCCAUCAUAGUAGUUAAUCAUGAUGACUACAACAACAAAGCCAACAGACAACUCUCGAACACAAGCUACUACAGUAAAAGCUUUCUUAUCUGGCAUGUUGU